rnacentral:rRNA from 1 species
GUUAGGAAUCUUCCACAAUGGGGGCAACCCUGAUGGAGCAACACCGCGUGCUGGAUGAAGGCCUUCGGGUCGUAAACAGCUUUUGUAUACGAAGAAUAUGACGGUAAUAUACGAAUAAGGGUCGGCUAACUACGUGCCAGCAGCCGCGGUCAUACGUAGGACCCAAGCGUUAUCCGGAGUGACUGGGCGUAAAGAGUUGCGUAGGCGGCUUAUUAAGCGAGUAGUGAAAUCUGGUGGCUCAACCAUCAACACAUUGCUCGAACUGAUAGGCUUGAGAAUGGUAGAGGUAGUUGGAAUUUCUUGUGUAGGAGUGAAAUCCGUAGAUAUAAGAAGGAACACCAAUGGCGUAGGCAGACUACUGGACCAUUUCUGACGCUGAGGCACGAAAGCGUGGGGAGCGAACCGGAUUAGAUACCCUGGAGUCC